GGCCCUUCAGCAUCAUCAUGCUGUUCACGAAAUUUCCUACAUUGCAAAGGACAUCACAGAUCACCGGGCCUUUGGAUACGUUUGUGGGAAGGAAGGGAAUCACAGAUUUGUUGCCAUAAAAACAGCCCAGGCGGCUGAACCUGUUAUUCUGGACUUGAGAGAUCUCUUUCAACUUAUUUAUGAAUUGAAGCAAAGAGAAGAGUUGGAAAAAAAGGCACAAAAGGAUAAGCAGUGCGAACAAGCUGUGUAUCAGACAAUUUUGGAAGAGGAUGUUGAAGAUCCUGUAUACCAGUACAUUGUGUUUGAGGCUGGACACGAGCCAAUCCGUGAUCCCGAAACGGAAGAAAACAUUUAUCAGGUUCCCACCAGCCAAAAGAAGGAAGGUGUUUAUGAUGUGCCAAAAAGUCAACCUGUAAGUG